rnacentral:misc_RNA from 1 species
ACAAAAAAAACAUCGGGGCUCGUUGGCAGAGCAACCGAAGGGCAACGAAACAAAACACAGCCGAGGGGUUGUUUUUGGCAAACAAAACAAAAGUCGGAUCGACCUCGAACGCCGAGCGACCAGGUCGCUAGGCCGAGGGAUCCGGCGAACUCGCUGGGUUUUCUCAGCGCCUCGGGCCGUCGAAGCCUCCUCCUCCGAGGGGCUCCGUCGCCUUAAGUACAGACGAGCUCGACCGCGACCCCGGGCUUCCGGAACGGUGGGUCGCUUCAUUCAAAAAGCACUCGGCAUCGUCGGGAGGUUGGCCUCGACGUUAUAAGCACCCGAGUAUGUACUUUCUCACGUAUACCAACAGAUUUCUUACACAAAACCCGGGGGCGGAGUCGGGAGGCUCUGCUUUUUUUCGGGGGUCGGCCGGCGUACCUCGUUGCGCGCCGCGACCGACCGAAUUGGCAUCUUACUUUUUUGA